CGACGUAGGUGACCUGCCUGGUAGCGGGGGGUAACUAUUGGAAACGAUAGCUAAUACCGCAUGACAACAGUUAUUGCAUGAUAACUGUUUAAAGGGGGCAAUUGCUCCACUACCAGAUGGACCUGCGUUGUAUUAGCUAGUUGGUGAGGUAACGGCUCACCAAGGCGACGAUACAUAGCCGACCUGAGAGGGUGAUCGGCCACACUGGGACUGAGACACGGCCCAG
rnacentral:rRNA from 1 species